rnacentral:rRNA from 1 species
UACGGGGGGGGCAAGCGUUGUUCGGAAUUACUGGGCGUAAAGGGCUCGUAGGCGGCCAACUAAGUCGGACGUGAAAUCCCUCAGCUUAACUGGGGAACUGCGUCCGAUACUGGAUGGCUUGAGUUUGGGAGAGGGAUGCGGAAUUCCAGGUGUAGCGGUGAAAUGCGUAGAUAUCUGGAGGAACACCGGUGGCGAAGGCGGCAUCCUGGACCAACACUGACACUGAGGAGCGAAAGCGUGGGGAGCGAACGGG